GAUGAACGCUAGCGGCAGGCUUAAUACAUGCAAGUCGAGGGGCAGCAUGACUGUAGCAAUACAGUUGAUGGCGACCGGCAAACGGGUGCGGAACACGUACAGAACCUUCCUUCUAGCGGGGAAUAGCCCAGAGAAAUUUGGAUUAAUACCCCAUAGUAUUACGGAGUGGCACCACUUUGUAAUUAAAGAUUUAUCACUUGAAGAUGGCUGUGCGGCUGAUUAGGUAGUUGGCGGGGUAACGGCCCACCAAGCCUGCGAUCAGUAACUGGUGUGAGAGCACGACCAGUCACACGGGCACUGAGACACGGGCCCGACUCCUACGGGAGGCAGCAGUAAGGAAUAUUGGUCAAUGGACGAAAGUCUGAACCAGCCAUGCCGCGUGGAGGAUGAAGGUCCUCUGGAUUGUAAACUUCUUUUAUAUGGGACGAAAAAAGGCUUUUCUAAGUCGUCUGACGGUACCAUAUGAAUAAGCACCGGCUAACUCCGUGCCAGCAGCCGCCGUAAUAC
rnacentral:rRNA from 1 species